rnacentral:misc_RNA from 1 species
UGUCAGUGCAAUGAGUGCUCUUUCCGUUUUUCAUCCUGAUGCAAAUCCAGCUCUGAGAGGGCAGGAUAUAUACAAGUCUAAACAAGUGAGAGAUAAACAAAUAGUUCGGAUCCUUGGCAAGGCACCUACAAUUGCUACAGCUGCUUACUUAAGAAUGGCUGGCAGGCCACCUGUCCUUCCAUCCAACAAUCUCUCAUAUGCGGAGAACUUCUUGUACAUGCUAGA